UAGUACAUGUUUUAUUGGAGACGGGAAUCGGUUUGAUCAAACAUAUUUUAUUUUCUUUUACAUAUUUUUAACUUAAUAAAAUUAUAUCUAUUGAUGGAUAUGAUAUGUUACGGGACUAGAACUUAAUCUGGCAAACUGUUGGAAAAAAUUUGGUUCGAAAAUCGUUUUGUGCACAGCAGAAAAAUAAAAAUUUUGAAAAUCGAACCAGUUUGUAAUAUUAUAGCAAUAAACAUUUUUUCCUGAAAUAAUAUCUGUGCUUUAAGCGAGACGGAUCCUAGACAUUCUCGGCUUUCAACCAAAUGACUUUUUUCGCUAUUUUCGUACCAUGAACUACCUUGAGUGUGAAUUCGACCAAUUUCGAAUCAAACACAGAAUCAUGAAUAUUUUUCUUACUUUUAGUAGGAAAGUAAAUAUCUCUUUUUUAUAGAAACUGGUAGAAUUGUUAUUGCAACUCACGGUAUGGCAACUUUUGCUUCGCUCAUGGCUUUAGCUCAUGCUUAAAUGAGAAAAAUGCCUCAUUCUCACCCAAAUCAAAAAUUUGGAGCAUCGACUCAUUGAAAUCAUCCACAUACUCCAUAACUGUGCAGUGUAGCAAAAGCUGGUGCAACUUAGCCCGAACCUCAUCCUCAGCAUACUCCAGGUAAAUCUGCCCCUUGAGUUCACUCUGAAACUCCUCCUAAGUCCUAAUAACGAUAUCACCUCGUCUCUCAUCUAUGGGCCUACGAUGCCACCAUAAUAAAGCGACAUUAAUAAAAUACAUGGCAACAAAAUUUACCUUGGUAGCAUCAUCCGUGAUGCCUUUGGUAUAAAACUAUUGCUCCAUUCCCCAAAAGAAGUUGUCCACAUCCUUUACGGAUCUCGUCCCAUUGAACUCUUUCGACUUUGGGACAUCUUGUAACAACCCAAAAUAAGGCCUAGUCGGAACAGUAGUUUCAAGACCAAAAAAAAAAAACUCGAAGUAGAAAUAUUUAAUUUAUAAUUUUUUUGGAGUCUAUGAUAUGUUUGGGUGAUGGUGUGCAAAUUUUGUUAAGAAAUUUUAUCGAUUAAGUGCCCAAUUUUAUUAUUGGGAUCCAAUUGUAUUAAUUGCAAAAUAUGAGUUCUAGAACAUAAGUACUUGUUUUAAAUGGGGGUUUAAAUUAGAGGUCUUUAAAUAGACCAUCAUAUUUCGUUAUGGACAAAACUAGUCAUGGAAGGGUAAAAAUUGAAGGUAUAGUAAAAAGGGCAUUUUUGUCAUUUGGGUGUUUUAAGGCAUAAAAGACAAAAUUGAAACCCAAAAAUCUGCUCAUUCUCUUCUCCAUGCUGCCGAAACUUUCAGCAAGCCAUGUCUAGGGUUUCAAGUUUUUUCAAAGUUCAAUUAUCAAAGAAAUCGAGAUUUGGACCAAAUACGGAAAUGUCAAUCAAAAUAAUCGACUCGCGUUGAGUAUCGCCAAGUUAGCUCGGGAAUCGGUGGACGCUGAGAUUUGCCCACACUAUCAAUUAGAACACUUGGUAUAUCUAGAUACAUAAAUUUUGGGUUACAAGAUGUAUAGUAGGUUUGGUCGUUUUGUCAUAUAUGUCAUAUUUCUUAUGGCCUAAAAUGUUGACCCUUAUUUAAUAAAUGUUCUUUUUGAUUAAGGCUAUUUGGAGAUGGCCAAUACGCCUAUGAUAUGGUUAUUCAUGUAUGUGGUAAUUGUAUAAUUGAAUGUUGUGGAGGUGGUUUAUAAAUGAUUUCAUGAA